rnacentral:rRNA from 1 species
AUUGAACGCUGGCGGCAUGCCUUACACAUGCAAGUCGAACGGCAGCACGGACUUCGGUCUGGUGGCGAGUGGCGAACGGGUGAGUAAUGUAUCGGAACGUACCUUUCAGUGGGGGAUAACGUAGCGAACGUUACGCUAAUACCGCAUAUUCUGUGCGCAGGAAAGCAGGGGAUCGCAAGACCUUGCGCUGAUUGAGCGGCCGAUAUCCGAUUAGCUAGUUGGUGAGGUAAAGGCUCACCAAGGCGACGAUCUGUAGCGGGUCUGAGAAGAUGUUCCGGCAAACUGGAACUGCGACACGGUCAAGACUCCUACGGGAGGCAGCAGUGGGGGAUUGUGGACAAUGGGGGCAAGCCUGAUCCAGCCAUGCCGCGUGAGUGAAGAAGGCCUUCGGGUUGUAAAGCUCUUUCGGCCGGGAAGAAAUCGUAUCAGCUAAUACCUGGUGCGGGUGACGGUACCGGCAUAAGAAGCACCGGCUAACUACGUGCCAGCAGCCGCAGUAAAAC